AGGAGAUGCACACACAUGACAAACAGUGAAUAGGGAGAUAACUCUUACAAAGAAAAUGGUUCGGCUUAGCAGGGUGAAAUUUAAAAGCGCAUAAACUAUACGAUACAAUAUGAAAAAAAUCUAAGCGACAUAUUGCGAAACAAACAUUUAUCGCAAGAACAAAAUUUGGCGGAAAAAAAAAAAAAAUAAUAAUAAUCAGAACAAAUACAAUAGAAGAAAAGUGGAAAGACCAAUUGUUCAGAGAACAAUUGAAAGUCUUUCCACACCAAAGAAAUUUUGAUAAGAUAGUUUCUUCAUACUGAUGCGAUAAAUAAUGGUUUAAUUAUAUUUUUGAGUGAUAUAAGGGAGAUAAUAUGCUACUUCCGGUGAAAUGAAUGUCACUUCCGGUCUCAUAUGAUAGCUUCUUUCACACUGAUUCCAAAAAUAUAUAGUUUCUAUAUACUUUUGUAUGUAGAAUGGGAGAUAAUUGGCCACUUCCGGUUUGUUGGAAGUCAUUUUUAGUCUUCAGUAAUCAGUUUAUGUAUCUAUAUGACAAAAUAUAUGGAUUCUGAGUACUUUUAUAUGAAAAAAUUGCAAAAAAGGCUACUUCCGGUUUUCUCAAGGUCACUUCCGGUAGUCAUUUUUCAAGGUCAUUUGUCACCUUAACCUUUUGUACAAGGUCAAAUGCCUUUAUAAUGAACUUAGUUGAAGUUAUAAUCAAAUAACCUCAUAUCAAGACAUUUCAGGGGCACCAACUCCUAUAAGAUGCCAUUAAAUUGUAUAAGACUAAAUGUAGCAUAUCUUCAUUACAAUAAAGCUGACAUUUUGCACUUGUUCUUUUAUAUGUAUCUUUCAAAGUGUCUGAGAAAAUGCAAAAACAAGCAAAAGUCACAAUUGAGAACUUGACCUUGACCUUUGACCUUGACCUCAUUUUCUAAGUUAGGACCUAGGGGACUCAAAUAAAAAACAUUCCAGGGUUAUACGGUUAACUGUUUAUGAGUUAAAAUAAACAUACCGACAAAUUUAUUUUGUAAAGGUAGAUAACUCCUAUAAAAUUUCAUCGAAUCGCUUCGAUCCAAAUUAGCCAAAAAUUCCUGAGGAUGUAACGAACAAUUUGUAAAAAGAAUUUUGUCGCUAUCUUUUUUUGUUACGAAGGAGAUGCACACAGAUGAUAAACAGUGAAAAGGGAGAUAACUCUUACAAAGAAAAUGGUUCGCCUUAGCAGGGUGAAAUUUAAAAGCGCAUAAACUAUACGAUACCAUAUGAGAAAUAUCUAAGCGACAUAUUGCGAAACAAACAUUUUGCGCAAGAACAAAAUUUGGCGGAAGAAAAAAAAAAAAAAUAAUAAAAUAAUAAGUCUUUAAUGGAAAGAAUAAAUAUAAAGCAAUUGUUUUGAAAACAAUUGUUAGGCAGUCUUUCCCCUCUGAUGAAUGGAUAAUUGAUUUUUUUUUUUAUUGAUUGAUUUGGAAAAAGGGGGGGGGGUAUUUGUUUAUUUGUUUGUUUGUUUGCUUUGGUAUGGGGUCUAUAUUAUUAUGUUACCGGAGAAGUUUCAUGUUUAGUUUGGAAAGUUUUUCUUUUAUUUUAGAUACAGCGCGCGCGCAAGAUUGAGGAGACAUCACGUGACGCGGGUUUAUAUUAAGAAAAACUUAGUCUUUUAAUUUCUUUUUAGGUCGGGACUUUGAACAGACAACAUGUAUAGAGAUGGAAUGUACACAAUGUAAUUUCUUUUGUCAUUGUAGGAAAUUGACAUUUUGAUCACAGUUCACCAGCAGUGCAUGUUUUGGAUUUAAUCGAUCCGGUGUAACUUUAAAACACAUUUAAUGAUUAUUUUUUGAUAAUGUCCAUUUUUCAGCACCUGUUUGUAACACAGAUUAGUAUUUCAAUCUCGGAGCGGACAUUUUAUUGUAGGUUUUUACUGAGAUUGACGGACCUAGCAAGCGAUUUUUACGGCAUUGCCAUUUCUUUUUUCUAGGAAAAGUCUUGAGAGAUAUCUGCAAAAAGUUUUUUUAUGAACCUUCAGUACAUGUAUGCCCUGCUGACUGCAAAUUUUCAGGUCGAUUGGACUUGUAGUUUCAGAGAAUAUGUGGAUUUUUUUUCAGAAGAGACGUAAGAACAAUAAUAAAAUAAAAAUUUUCUUGAAUAAUUGAGAGUUUGUUCCUUCAAUAAACUGUCAUAAAUAAACAGUCAUACAUAUUGAUUGAUUGAUUAGUUGGUUGAUUGAUUGGUUGGUUGGUUGGUUUGUUGGUUGGUUGAUUAAACACGUUUGAUAGGGUCACUUAGAACAAGGGAAAAAAACCUCAAGAGACCUUGCAUCCCGUAUUAAACGCAUGACACGGAAAC
rnacentral:lncRNA from 1 species